rnacentral:rRNA from 1 species
UACGAAGGGGGCUAGCGUUGCUCGGAAUCACUGGGCGUAAAGGGUGCGUAGGCGGGUUUUUAAGUCAGGGGUGAAAUCCUGGAGCUCAACUCCAGAACUGCCUUUGAUACUGGCGAUCUUGAGUUCGGGAGAGGUGAGUGGAACUGCGAGUGUAGAGGUGAAAUUCGUAGAUAUUCGCAAGAACACCAGUGGCGAAGGCGGCUCACUGGCCCGAUACUGACGCUGAGGUGCGAAAGCGUGGGGAGCAAACAGG